GUGAAGGUCUGCAUGAUAGGAUUUGUCCUAUCCAGUGUUAGCUCUCAGACACAGGGUAUAUUAUUGAAGAUGAUGGUCCAGCUCUGCCUGUAACCAGCAGAGAUACCUGUGAAGACAGCAGGGUAAUCUGCUUUGGUGUGGGAUGAGCACACCAGGUAGCAGUGCUGAACCAUCUGUCUCCCUUCACUGAUCAUGGGGGCACCUGGAGAACCAGCUUCCACUUGAUGCCCCAUGUUGAUCAGGGUGUCUCUUCAUCCCUUCCCACGUGUAAUAGGUGAGGAAGUCCAAACUGGACAGAAAACAGGAGAUGCCUUACCGGAGAUGGACACCAUCAGUGCCCACUUCAGAACGACUGCAAAUCCAACUGUCAGGUGAGGUGCCGAUGGAGAGACGGAAUUCUUUCACCUCUGACUGCACGGGGCAGGAGAAGGGAGCUGGAGGUAGCAGAGCAAGGAGGAAAACAGGCAAAGGUUAUGAGCUACAGCAGGAGUGGAAAUACUCAGUCCUGGAGUGAUUAUUGUUCUGCUGGACCAGUAUGUGUGUGACUGCCUGAGAGCUGUUCACACUCAUGGGGCUUCACAAGGAACUCAUUCCCAUGUAAAUUGUGUCUGCUUUGAAGUCAAGGAAAUUCCAUUAGCAGGGGAAAAGCGUGAGAAGAAUCAAACAAGAAAGCAUUGUGAUCUUC